rnacentral:rRNA from 1 species
AACGCUGGCGGCGUGCUUAACACAUGCAAGUCGAACGAAGCACCUCUCCCGAAGAUUGAAGUAGCUUGCUACGGAUUGAUUCAUUGAGGUGACUUAGUGGCGGACGGGUGAGUAACGCGUGGGUAACCUGCCUCGUAGAGGGGGACAACAGUUGGAAACGACUGCUAAUACCGCAUAACAUGUGACUGUCACAUGACAGACACAUCAAAGCUUUUGCGCUAUGAGAUGGACCCGCGUCUGAUUAGCUAGUUGGUGAGGUAACGGCUCACCAAGGCGACGAUCAGUAGCCGGCUUGAGAGAGUGAACGGCCACAUUGGGACUGAGACACGGCCCAGACUCCUACGGGAGGCAGCAGUGGGGAAUAUUGCACAAUGGGGGAAACCCUGAUGCAGCGACGCCGCGUGAGUGAAGAAGUAUUUCGGUAUGUAAAGCUCUAUCAGCAGGGAAGAUAAUGACGGUACCUGACUAAGAAACCCCGGCUAACUACGUGCCAGCCGCUGC